CUGAGUGAGUUCUCACAAAGUGAGCACAUCCACAUAUCCAGCACCUAGAGCCAGAAACGAACACAGCCAUCAUCCCAGAAACUACACCCCCAAGUGCAACCACUGUUCCUAAGCAGUGUUGUUGAGUUCAGCUAUUUUCACACCUAGAUUUUGUGAUGCUGAACAUGCCGUGUAACACCAGUGCAGUAGCUGAUCCAGGGAACCUGUGUUCUGAUAUGAAGGCAGGAUUCCUGGGAGUUAGAGAGAAGUGGAGAGUUUAAUAGUUAGCACAGUUAAAUGAUAAUGAUAACAAUAAAAGGCAAGUGCAAUAUGAAACAUCCCAGAUGCAGACAAUAAAGCUUGUGGUUCCCGAUUUGUUAAUAGCUAAAGAGAGACGUCCAAGUUAAAGAGUGUUGGCAUUUUGAAUUGGCAUGUGGUUCUACUAAAUAGCAUCUUCUCCAGGGGAGGGGAGGCAGUGGGUUUCACGAGAGUUUUGUUUUGUUUCUGAGGAGCGUGUCUGUUGCAUACGCUUGCAAUCUGAACAAAGGCUCUGCAGUGGAAGGCAGCCUCUGCCCUCCAACAGUUCAUAUAUUGGUUGGAGGGAGGAUUUAAAAAGUCACCAAGGCAAGGAGAAGCCUCAGAGAAGGCGAGCUUAACUGAGUCUUGACAAAUUGGUAGAAUUCAGAGACAGAGAAGAAGUGGGCAUUUAAGAUAGAAAGUAGGCAUUUAACAUCCCCAAGGCAGUGGGGACAUCCAGGUGGCCUUCUGAGGACACAGAGGAGACAGAGCAGUCUCGGGAGUGUGGAGGGUUCUCCUCGAUACGGCUGGAAAGUGCUUUCCAUCGAAGCUGUCCAGCACAGUGGAUACAGACGCAGGUUACAAAUGCAGGAUACAAAUACAAGUACACAGACCUCGAUUUGGGUUUGAAUUUUGGGUUUGUCACUGACCAUGUUGACCCUGGCAAAUCACUGUACCUCAAUUAGCCUCAGCAGUCAGAACCUACUCAUGGUUGUAAUGAGAAUGAAAUUACAGGAGAUGACACACUCAGAGCACUGAGUACAAGAUCUCAUGCAUAACAAGGCCUGAAUAAGGUAUCAGCUACCAUUAGCACUUGCAAGUGUAUGUGUGAACCCUGCCAUUUUCUCUUGUGCAGUUUUCAAAGUCUUACACUACACUUCUCUGUUCCUUCAAGCUCAUGGUUUGUCAAGACUUUUUCUUCAGAGACCAGAUGGUAAAUAUUUUCAGCCCAUGUGGUCUUCGUUGAAACCAUUCAGUCCUGCCCUUGUAGCUCAAAAGCAACCACAGACAAGCCAUACACGUAGCUGGAUUUGGCCCAGAGCUACUUUGUAUUUGUGCACAAAAGUGUCCUCCCCAGGGUGGGCUGGGGAUCGCUUUCAGAGCAGCUGGCGUGAUGGCCAGUCCCAUGGCCAACGAAAUUUCUGUUGUCACUGGGUUUUGGCACUGUGCCAGGCUUGUGGAAUGGAUCCGGACACUCGUAAAUACCACUGGAUGUGUGUCUUUCAAAAACAUUUACUGAUCACCUUCCUUCUGUCCUCACUGUCCUCGGCCCUAAAAGGGUAGAACCCGGCCAAAACCCACAGUCUUCCAAGUGAGAUCACACCCCUGGUCUCAGGACUUAAUGAAGCUCAGGUUCUUGAUGUCUCAUCGCAGAAAGAAUUCAGUGAGAGCCAAAGUGAUAGGACACCCCGGGCCCUCUCUUUCUCCUCCGUGCCUUGGCUCUAGCAUCAGCCUCAUCCACCUCGAAAGGCCCCGUUUGAUGACUGGAGGCCAGGCAGAAACAGGUCUGCAUCAGGCAGCGGCAGCUCCGUUCAGUCGGGGUGGGCCCCAGCCGUCUGUGUAAUCACAGUGGACACAAGGAGUUUCGGAGGGAGCAGUGGCGAUUCCUGUGGGUCCCCCUCAAAGCUCAUCCGGCUGGAACCCGUUGGGAAAAGAAAUUUCCCGGCAAGAUUGAAAGGCUGACGAUGGCUGACAGAAACGUCAGGCCUAAAAGCUAAUGCUGAAUGAGGGUGGAGUGGUCAAGACGUUUCCAUGUGGAGAGAAAGGAGCAGGUAUUCUGGGUGCGAGCAUUGUGGAAGGAGAAAGCUGGCGUUUGUAGGUGCUGGGGGCGCUCUGGGUGGGUCAUUCUCCCCCCUCGAGUCUUCAGUGCUCAUCUCUGGCAUCAGGAUUUGCCACCAUGGCAAGGAGAGUGUGGUGCCACUGAGGCUGGCAGUGCCCUUAUGUCCAAGGAAAGCAACGGGCCUUUUCCCCCUUCGAUAAAAAGCUCUCCCGGGGGCUUCCCUGGUGGCGCAGUGGUUGAGAAUCUGCCUGCCAAUGCAGGGGACAUGGGUUUGAGCCCUGGUCCGGGGGGAUCCCACAUGCCGCGGAGCAACUAGGCCUGUGAGCCACAACUACUGAGCCUGUGCGUCUGGAGCUCCUGCUCCGCAACAGGAGAGGCUGCGAUAGUGAGAGGCCCGCGCACCGCGAUGAAGAGUGGCCCCCGCUUGCCGCAACUGGAGAAAGCCCUCGCACAGAAACGAAGACCCAACACAGCCAAAAAUAAAUAUAAAUAAAUAAACUUAAAAAAAAAUAAAAGUUCUCCCGGGUGACCUCAGUGCUGAUGGAGCAGGGACCCCCCACCCCCACCCCGGUACAAGGCGAAGUAAGUGACCCUGGGCCCAGAGCUCUCCUCCCUGGGGCGGGUUUGGGUGACCGUUCCUUUCCAGCCCUGUCCUCCUCCUCAUUGCUGCUUGCUUGAUGUAUUGAUGUCCUAGAACUUCCAUUUGAGGCAGGGGAAGAAGGACAGUUUCUGGGAGAGUCCAUUUGGCUGGAGCUGAGAGUUUAGGUCAUUGAUCUGUUGGUUGUUAUGACUACCUAGGGUUCCAAGAGCAUCUCCUCUGUCUUUCUAGCAAAGCAACUGGUUCUGCCACAGAGACAUUCUCCCAUCUUAUGUAUUUGUAAUUCAUCUUUAUUCCUUUUGCUUCUAAGUAGUCACAAACAUUAUAGAAAUGUAUAAGGAAGAAAGUAGUCCUUUCCUAUAAUCGCCCCUCCUCCCUGGCUAUCUGUACUUAAGAGUUAGAGCUAAAAGAGUCUAAGAAACCCAGUAACAUGUAAGAGCAAGGGAAGGGCUAAUGUAGACUUGAAAUCCACACUUAACUUUUGAAAGUAGUCAACUUCUGUUCACACUUCACCCUAAGUUCUGUAUUUUUGGUGUUACAGACUACUGAGGCGUGAAAUGUCCAGACACGCUAACAGGAAGGGGAGUGAUCAUAGCAGAAUCCGUACACUUAAUGCACUCACCACCUGCUGUUCACACACACUUCCUCAGUCAGGCUCACAGCAGACUUGCAGGAUGGAGCACGAUCCCUGUUUAAUACACGAGGGAAGUGAGGUUUAGAAAAGUAACGCGCCCAAGAUUCUAACCCUCAUAAGGGGCAGGUCUGGACUUGAACCAUGUUUCUCGCUCUCGCUCUUUCCAUUUCUCUGAGCCUUUUCUGUCUCCAUCAUGUCUGUCUUGAAAUUAUAACAGAUAAUCCAUCCCCACAGGUCAGUCUUGUGGGCCAGUCCGCCAUAAAACCACCCGUUCACUUAACAAAUGGGUGCCUGUGUUGUGCUGGGCACCCUUCCAGUCACUAGGAAUCAGCAGUGAACAGAGCCCACCAAGACCCUGCCCCCUCGGGGCUGACACUCUAGAAGACAGACCAGCGUUAAACAAAUCACAGUGGAUGGGGCGUGUGCCCUGCCCCAGGCCCUCCCACGUGUCCUUCAGGAACCUAUCCAUGGUGCUCUCGGCACACUUCCUGACCCUGUAUUUACACCUUCAGCCUCCGAAGUCUCUGACUGUCUCACCUCUCAACCUAAGUCGUGAUUUAGACAGUGACUGGAUGGCCAUUUUCCUCAGCAACGGUAUGGUUGUCUGGGUGGGGGACAUUGCAGGUACGGCGGAGGAAGAGGGAAGUGAAAGAUGAACACAGCCAGUGAAGGCUCCCAGGCUUUGGAAGACUGAGUAAAAUGAGGCUUUGAAAAACUCCCUCCCUCCUCCCACCGGUGCUACACACAACACUGAAUGUGAGCGCUCAGAAAACAGAGAGCGGGGGCCCUGCCAGCUUCGGCUUCCAUCGCAGCGUACAAGGAUGGAGUAAAAUCCUGCCUGCGGCGUGUUCUUUCAGGCCAUUGGCUGGCUUCUAGGUCUCUGGUGUUUGCCCAGGGACCUCUUGGGAGGGCCUCUUACAUUUUCCUCUCCACUCUGAAAGGAGCCCUUGGUCCCUCCAUCAGAGGUCAACGCUGUGCUGAGUUCAGAGGCAGAACAAUCGUAGUACCUCGGGGCUGGGACGCUCCCCUGCCAGGAAGAGGAGCAUUUAAUUGCUUUUGGAAACCAUAUUCUGUCAAAGUACCCAGUUACCAAGAGAUCUGUGCCCAGCUAGGCUAGUCCCCUCCUGCUGUCAUCGUUCCAACACCCCAGAGAAAGCGCAAAAAAUGAAAUCCAUGGAUAAUCCAAGUACCUGCUUUUUUUUUUUUCCUUUGGGCCGUGCCACGCGCGCCUUGUGGGAUCCUAGUUCCCUGACAAGGGUUUGAACCCGGGUCCCCUGCAGUGGAAGCAUGGAGUCCCAACCGCUGGACCGCCAGGGAAUUCCCAAGUACCUGCUUUUUUCAUCUUUUCCCUAGGAUAUCUUUCAGCAGAGCUAGGCAGAGAGCCUGCCAACUCCAGCAAAGGGGCUAAUGAGCAGUGAUUUGGGAGGUGGGAAAGAAAGCUGUAUAAUUGGGUGUAUUUAGUGGCAAAUGAACGGUUAAGAAGCGUUGAUUUCACCCAACUUGCUUCAGGAACGAUGCAGGCCCAUGGUAAACAAACAGCGCACCCUUUAUGGCAGCCCUACAUGGGGUGGUGCCAGUCAGUCCCCAGAUGCCACCAGCCUGGGCACAAGCCUUUCCCGGGCAGGGGCAUGGGCUGCAGGACUGUGUUUUUCAUGCCCACCGAGAAACCAGGCCCGUCGUUUCUGAAUGGCAGGAUCUCUGACUGGUUCUUGUGCAGAGGUGAUGCCUGGGUUCUCUAGUUCUAUAAUCGACUAUAAUUGAUUGUCGUUGGGAAUGAGCUAUUUUCCAGGCUAAGGUAGGGUGGGAUCUCAGGUGAGGGAUUUUAAAAUGAGGAGAAUGAGUCAGAAACAUUGCGGUUGCCUGGGGUUGGUGGAGCCGUGGACACCCAGUGGGCCUUAGCUUCUGUGGACAUUCUCAUGUUGUCUAGGAAGGAAGUGGCUGGAACCUUCCCGACGUCACCCCCCUAAACUCCCAGCUCCCAUUCGAUAGAGCCCUGGGAGUGGCCCAAGACCCCUACUGCUCUGUCCUCCUCAGUAAGACGCUGGGAUGAGCACUUUCCGGAUGGUCACAGCAGGUGCCCCUGACCUUCACUUUAUCCCCAGGGAGGAUGGAAGCAGAAGGGGCUCCAGCUACCUCUGUGGUAUCUGAGCACACCGGGCCAAGACGCUGCAGUAAAGCAGAAGGACCACUGGACAAAGCCAGGAGGUGCAGGAAGCGUCUUCACUUCCCUGGGCCCCAGCCUCCCAGACCCAUGAGAUGAGGGUUCUGGCUAAGUGAUUAUUUUUCUGAUUUUCAGUGCAUUCAGUAGUUAAAGUUCCAUUCACUGAGAGCCUCUCCCUUGCUCACUCUAACUGCCCCCCACACCCUCCUGAAUGAGAGGCUCCAGGAGAGGAAGACGGUAAGAGGCCCUCCCGAGAGGUCCCUGCGCAAACACCAGAGACCUGGAAGCCAAGCAACAGCCUGAAAAAACACGCCACACACAGGAUUCUACUCCAUCCUCGAACCACUGGUGAUUUCUAAGGGCUCUUAUGCCCUUAGAUUCUGAAAUUCUUCAUCCUGGCCAGCGCCCAGCCUUGUCUUCGAUUCCAAUGGAGAGUCUUUCCAGAAAUGCUGUCGACAGUAGCCUUCCUUUCCUUGGAUCAUGUAAAGCAGGCAUUAUUGCUCUUUUUUUAAAUUUAUUUAUUUAUUUAUUUUUGGCUGCGUUGGGUCUUCGUUGCUACGUGCAGGCUUUCUCUAGUUGCGGCGAGCGGGGGCUACUCUUCGUUGUGGUGUGUGGGCUUCUCAUUGUGGUGGCUUCUCUUGUUGCGGAGCACGGGCUCUAGACACGCGGGCUCAGUAGUUGUGGCACUCGGGCUCAGUAGUUGUGGAACAUGGGCUUAGUUGCUCCGCGGCAUGUGGGAUCUUCCUGGACCAGGGCUCGAACCCGUGUCGCCUGCAUUGGCAGGCGGAUUCUUAACCACUGCGCCACUUCCCUGCGCCAAUAAUGCCAGGGAAGUCCCGGCAUUAUUGUUUUUAAGAAGCUUUGCUAAGAUUUAAAAGACUCCAGCCUGCCUGCCUUAUUAUUUAUUUAUUUGUUUACAUUUAUUUUUGAGAGGAAGGGUGGUGAGCACUGGCCUUCUCUUCAGAUCCAUGAGAGUCUGUGUCUGAAGCCAAUGCAAACUACUGGUGCGGCAUCAGGGUGGGGACGUUGAUUCGGUGGCCGCACCAACCCUUCUUUAGCCGUGUCUGCCAUGGACGAGCCCUCGUGGGGUCCCUCUCCCUGGGGGCGUCCAGGCAUCCAGGUUUGGGGACAUCCUAACCCCAAAAGUAAUAAAUGGUAUCACACAGUCUGACCUCUGCCUGUCCUCGGAGGGUCUGCCUCAGAAAGAAGAGCAAGUGUCCGCGAGGCCCACAGGUGCAGCUUGACCCAGCAGGGGCCCCACGGCGGCUAGAAUUCCAAAGGCAAGGUGGGCAGAGACCUCCCACUUCCCGCAGGCCUCGUCCCUCACCCAUGCCGCACCCCAGCUGCAGCCGGUGAGAGGCAGCGGGGGGAUGAGGUGUCCAAGUGGGUCCUGCAGCUCAGGGUGGCUCCGAGUUUGAGUUGAGCUCGUGUAACCGGGGCCAUCGUUGGUUUAAUUUGUAAAAGAGGUGCUCUGAGGUCGGCUGGCAGUCCACCUCUCUUCAGCUGGGGUCUUUUCUGCUUUUGGAUUUCUACUUCCUAGGCCUGCACUGGGGAGGCUGUUCUAAAUACUCUGUCGUCUAAAUAACAUCUGGUCUCCGUGGAGCCGGUAGAGCAGCUGCUGGUACCCGGCGACCUCCUCCCUGAGCAGCGGGAGAGUCUCCUGUGUUCAAGGUCCGUGUCCUCCGCCAGGGAUGCAGCAGGCCCAGCAGUGAGCCCCUAAGUGGUUGGGCGGCUCACACGGGCGUGUCGCCAGCCUGGGUCUGUCCGGCCUCACAGACUCUCCUGCCUUUGUCGGGGCAGGGACUUUUCUCCUGCUCUGUAAACCUAGGCGUGCGGAGCCCCCCACCCCACCCCGCCCGCCCCAGUACAGACGGUGAGCAGAGUGAGAUUUCAGAUCCCCGGCUGUUUGCUGAGCAGCAUCACAGCCUCUUUGGUCUCAGCUGACCGGGGAGGAGGAAAGGAGGGCCCCUGCAACCAGCUCAUUUUCACUUGGCCAUUGUUAAUCUUUCACAGCUGCCGUGGAGUUACCUAUUAGGGACCAAUUCUGGAAGGAUUUCUUGGUACCGACCACAGAACUAGAAAUUGUUUCAUGGUUAUGCGUCCAGGAGAGAGACAAGACUGAGAGGGCCUGGCUGUGGCAGCUCCAAGCAGAGAGUGGGACUAACCCUGAUUAAAAUGCCCGGAGUCAGGCAUUUCUUGGCUUGCGGAAGUGCGCCACCCCCAUGUCCCUGCAGCCACGGGGCCUGGCACAGUCUCGUGAUGGCCAGUUUUCCCAGAGGGCUCAGCAGGGAGCACCGGCCUCCUGGCCGUGAGAGUCUGGGGUGAGCUGAACCCAGCUCUUCCUGGCCUGGGUGCCCAAGUGCACCCGGAGAACCGGGAACAGGGAGAGAAGAGCAGCUUAGCCGGUCCGAGUGUGGCCUGGGAGCAUGACUUGCAGAUGAGGCCUGAGUUCAAGGACUCUCAGGAAACCAUGGCUUUAAAAACAAGUUUUUAAAAAUAAAUUUCUUUCUUUAUUUUUGGCUGCGUUGGGUCUUCGUUGCUGCGAGCGGGGGCUACUUUUCGUUGAGGUGUGUGGGCGUCUCAUUGCGGUGGCCUUCAGUAGUUGUGGCUCACAGGCUCAGUAGUUGUGGCUUGCGGGCUCUACAGCGCAGGCUCAGUAGUUGCGGCUCAUGGGCUUAGUUGCUCCACGACAUGUGGGAUCUUCCCGGACCAGGGCUCGAGCCCGUGUCCCCUGCAUCGACAGGCAGAUUCUUAACCACUGCACCACCAGGGAAGCCCUAAAAACAAUUUUAAAUCUUAUUCUCUCUCUCUUCAUUCUCAGCGGACCUUGCUUAUUGUUUUUUAAUUUAAAAAAAAAUUUAUUUAUGUUUGGCUGUGUUGGGUCUUCAUUGCUGUGCGCGGGCUUUCUCUAGUUGCGGCGAGCGGGGGGGCUACUCUCCCUUGCGGUGCGUGGGCUUCUCAUUGCAGUGGCUUCUCUUGUUGUGGAGCAUGGGCUCCAGGUGCACGGACUUCAGUAGUUGUGGCACGUGGGCUCAGUAGUUGUGGCUCAUGGGCUCUAGAGCUCAGCCUCAGUAGUUGUGGUGCAUGGGCUUAGUUGCUCUGCGGCAUGUGGGAUCUUCGCAGACCAGGGCUCGAACCCGUCUCCCCUGCCUCAACAGGCGGAUUCUUAACCACUGCGCCACCAGGGAAGCCCUGCCUUGCUUAUUUUUAAAUUUUCUUCCCAUGAGAAUUUUUUCACCCUCCCUCCAUCAAGCUCACCAGCCCACCCGGGCUCCCAUCUGUGGCCACCCCUACCCUGGGCAGUGGAUCCCACCCCGUCUUUCCUGUUCAAGGACUUGGCUCCUUUACUCCACCCCCAUUUUCCUGCCACCUUUUUGGCAAAGCUGGUCAAAGGAUUUUUCUGUAUUGCUGUCUUCUCUUUUUUCCUUCCUUCCUUCUCCUUUUCUCUCUUCUAACCAAAUUUAAUAAUAAUUUUUACCCCGUGUCAUCAAACAUCUCCCGUUUUCAAGUUCCACUUGCCUCAUCAAUGUCAGUUUACAAAUACCUCAUUUGCUUGAAACAGGAUCCAAAAAAGCUCUGACUCUCCCUGGCGGACUCCUCCCAGGCUUUCUUCCCUCUCUCUUCACCCCGAUUGCUUUUCAUCCAGGUUCCCGGCCCCUCCCUUUAUGUGGGAACGUGACCCGAUGGACUGAACGUUCCCUCCCCUUGCAGACUGUCUUCAUGUAGCUUCUGGAGCACACACUGUCCGGAUCGUCCACUGCCUUGCUGCCUGCGCCUUCUCAGUCCAAAGCAGUGAUCCUCAGCCCUGGCUGGGCAUUCGAAUUAUCUGGGGAGUGUUACUAAGAAAUGCUGGUUCCUGGGCCCCACCUCCAGAGUUUCUGUUCCGGUUGAUCCGGAGAGGCGCCUGGGCAUUGUUCUUUUCCUCCAGUUCCCCAAGUGGCCCUGUUGUGCAGACUGCGGGAGGACCCCUCGUCUGACACUGGAGCGCCCUGGCUUAGUGCUCAGAUGCUCCUCUCUCUGCAUUCCCAAGAUGAUCUCAUCCAAUUCCACAACUUUAAAUACCAUCCAAAGGCUGAUGGCGCUGACCUCUCUCUGAACUCCAGACCCAUUUGUACAACUGUCUCCUUGACAUCUCCACUGAGAUACCUGAUAGAUGUUUCAAACUUACCAUGGCCGGCGCAGAACUCCACCUGAUCUGGAAAGGGCACUGCCGUUCAGUUGCUCAGACCAAAAGCCUUAGAAUCAUCCUUGGCAGCUUGCUUUCUCUCCUUCCGCACAGCUAAUCCAUCAGUAAGUCCCUGGGGCGCCACCUGCAGAGUAGCUCUUAAAUCUAACCCUUUUUUGCUUCCACCGCUACAGCCAGCUCCAAGCCUCCCUUAUCCAUCCGCACUGGUGAUAGCCUCCCAGCCAGUCUCUCUGCCUCCACCUUGGCCUUCCAGAGUCCGUAUAUACACGACACAUAUGCUAGAGCAGCCUCAUAACAUACAUAUUGGAUUAUAUUACCUCCCUGUUUUCAGUAACUUCCAAUAACUUCCCAUCAAACUAGUAAUGAAAUGCCAAGUCUUUUACCACAGCCUGAACACCUGCACAUGAUGUGGCCCUUGGCUGUUCUCUGAGCUCGUAUCACUCACCUCCUUGCCACACCAGUCUCCUUCCGGUUGCCCCUGCCCCAGGACCUUUGCACAUGCUCUCCUAACUAGAAUACUCUUCCCCUAGUUACCUCAGUAGUCAUAUCCUCAGUGAGAUCUUCUCUGACCCCAUAUUUAUAACAGACCCCUGAUCACUGCUUUGUUUUUAUGUAGCUUUAUUCAUCCCUGGCACUAUAUUAUGUAUUUGCAUACGAUUUACAUUUUACAAGGGCCGGGACUUCUGUAUAAGAAUAGCAGCUGGUGUAUUCAUAGUGGGUGCUCAGUAAAUCUUUGUUGAAAUAUAUGAAUCUUCAAGGCUCGCGCCUCCUCUUCUGGCCACUGCUGAACUGAGCAUUGGGCGAGAGACAUCUCCUGGCCCAGCCUGUAACAGGUGUGCAUUCCUUGUCACCUCUGCUUAAGGCUCUAGACCAGAGGUCGGCAAACCUUCUAUAAAGGGCUGGAUAGUAAAUACUUUAGGUUCUGCAGGCCAUACAGCCUCUGUCUCAUCUACUCAGUUCUGCCAUCAUAGUGCAAAAGCAGCUGUAGAUAAUACAAAACAAAUGGGUGUGGCUGUGUUUUAAUAAAACUUUAUUUACAAAAAUAGGAGGCAGACCCACUGGCCAUAGUUUGCUGACCCCUGCUCUAGACCCCUACUAAUUCUGAAAUUUUCAGCCUUUUCCCCAAACUUUCAUGGGCAUAAAGGAAACAUUCAAAACCACUUGGCAGUCUGAUCAGCAGGAUGAAUUUCUUCCCAGAAGUGAGGAAAUCUCCUCCUGGAGCAACUGUGGCUGAUUUAACCAAACAGUGCACUUCCUCACUGUUGGGAAGAGGCCAACGUGGGGCAAAAGGAUGGAGAGAGCAGGCAAGCUUUCUUCUUAAAGGAGCCACACCAGCCUUUCUCCUCCAUCCAUCUUCCAGGAAGCAGA